AUUGAACGCUGGCGGCAUGCCUUACACAUGCAAGUCGAACGGUAACAGGUCUUCGGAUGCUGACGAGUGGCGAACGGGUGAGUAAUACAUCGGAACGUGCCUAGUAGUGGGGGAUAACUACUCGAAAGAGUGGCUAAUACCGCAUGAGAUCUACGGAUGAAAGCAGGGGAUCGCAAGACCUUGUGCUACUAGAGCGGCCGAUGGCAGAUUAGGUAGUUGGUGGGAUAAAAGCUUAUCAAGCCGACGAUCUGUAGCUGGUCUGAGAGGACGAUCAGCCACACUGGGACUGAGACACGGCCCAGACUCCUACGGGAGGCAGCAGUGGGGAAGUUUGGACAAUGGGCGCAAGCCUGAUCCAGCAAUGCCGCGUGCAGGAUGAAGGCCUUCGGGUUGUAAACUGCUUUUGUACGGAACGAAAAGCCCCGGGUUAAUACCCUGGGGUCAUGACGGUACCGUAAGAAUAAGCACCGGCUAACUACGUGCCAGCAGCCGCGGUAA
rnacentral:rRNA from 1 species